rnacentral:tRNA from 1 species
GGCCUCGUAGCUCAGCUGGUAAAGCAUGCGCGUACAACGCUCAGGCGGCGUCUAUGUGUGGGUUCGAUUCCCACCGAGGCUA